rnacentral:rRNA from 1 species
UACGUAGGUGGCAAGCGUUGUCCGGAAUUAUUGGGCGUAAAGCGCGCGCAGGCGGUUCCUUAAGUCUGAUGUGAAAGCCCCCCGGCUCAACCGGGGAGGGUCAUUGGAAACUGGGGAACUUGAGUGCAGAAGAGAAGAGCGGAAUUCCACGUGUAGCGGUGAAAUGCGUAGAGAUGUGGAGGAACACCAGUGGCGAAGGCGGCUCUUUGGUCUGUAACUGACGCUGAGGCGCGAAAGCGUGGGGAGCAAACAGG